AAACCAACAGGGAUUGCCUUAGUAACGGCGAGUGAAGCGGCAAAAGCUCAAAUUUGAAAUCUGACACUUUCAGUGUCCGAGUUGUAAUUUGAAGAAAGUUUCUCUGAGUAGUCCUUUAUCUAUGUUCCUUGGAACAGGACGUCAUAGAGGGUGAGAACCCCGUAUGAUUUUGGAUACUAUUCUUUGUGAGAUUCUUUCGAAGAUUCGAGUUGUUUGGGAAUGCAGCUCUAAGUGGGUGGUAAAUUCCAUCUAAAGCUAAAUAUUGGCGAGAGACCGAUAGCGAACAAGUACAGUGAUGGAAAGAUGAAAAGAACUCUGAAGAGAGAGUGAAAAAGUACGUGAAAUUGCUGAAAGGGAAGGGCUUUAAGUGAGACUUGGUGUUUGGUGAUUAUCUUCCCUUCUGGGUUGUGCACUCGCUUUUCACUGGGCCAAUAUCAGUUUUGGAGACAAAGUACCUAUUGGAAUGUAGCUUCUCUCGAGAAGUGUUAUAGCCUUUAGACGAUUUGUUUCUGGGACUGAGGACUGCGCAUUUAUGCUAGGAUAUUGGCGUAAUAAC
rnacentral:rRNA from 1 species